GUGCUCACUUCGGCAGCACAUACACUAAAAUUGUAACAAUACAGAUAAGAUUAGCAUGGCCCCUGCACAAAGAUAACACGCAAAUUCGUGAAGCAUUCCAUAUUCUU
ensembl:snRNA U6 U6 spliceosomal RNA